CCUACGGGAGACAGCAGUGAGGAAUAUUGGGCAAUGGGCGGGAGCCUGAACCAGCCAAGUCGCGUGAGGGACGACGGUCCUAUGGAUUGUAAACCUCUUUUGUCGGGGAACAAAGGCGCCCACGGGUGGGCGGAUGAGUGUACCCGAAGAAAAAGCAUCGGCUAACUCCGUGCGAGCAGCCGCGGUAAUACGGAGGAUGCGAGCGUUAUACGGAUUUAUUGGGUUAAAGGGGUGCGUAGUCGGAAAGUCAAGGCAGCGGGAAAAAUGCGGUGCUCAACGCCGUACUGCCGUUGAAACUGGGAGUCUUGAGUGGGCGAGAGGUAUGCGGAAUGCGUGGUGUAGCGGUGAAAUGCAUAGAUAUCAGGCAGAACUCCGAUUGCGAAGGCAGCAUACCGGCGCCCGACUGACGCUGAGGCACGAAAGCGUGGGUAUCGAACAGGAUUAGAUACCCCUGUAGUC
rnacentral:rRNA from 1 species